rnacentral:rRNA from 1 species
CCUACGGGUGGCAGCAGUGGGGAAUAUUGCGCAAUGGGCGAAAGCCUGACGCAGCGACGCCGCGUGAGGGAUGAAGGUCUUCGGAUCGUAAACCUCUGUCAGCAGGGAAGAACGGUCACUGUGCUAAUCAGCAGUGAAUUGACGGUACCUGCAAAGGAAGCACAGGCUAACUCCGUGCAAGCAGCCGCGGUAAAACGGAGGGCGCGAGCGUUAAUCGGAAUUACUGGGCGUAAAGCGCUCGUAGGCGGUAUGUCAAGUCAAGGGUGAAAUCCCCGGGCUCAACUUGGGAACUGCCUUUGAAACUGGCAAACUGGAGUGAGUGAGAGGAUAGUGGAAUUCCAGGUGGAGGGGUGAAAUCCGUAGAUAUCUGGAGGAACAUCAGGGGCGAAGGCGACUAUCUGGGACAUAACUGACGCUGAGGAGCGAAAGCGUGGGUAGCGAACAGGAUUAGAUACCCCUGUAGUG